rnacentral:rRNA from 1 species
CUUUUACAAUGAAGAGUUUGAUCCUGGCUCAGGAUGAACGCUAGCUACAGGCUUAACACAUGCAAGUCGAGGGGCAGCAUUUUAGUUUGCUUGCAAACUAAAGAUGGCGACCGGCGCACGGGUGAGUAACACGUAUCCAACCUGCCGAUAACUCGGGGAUAGCCUUUCGAAAGAAAGAUUAAUAUCCGAUAGUAUAUUAAAACCGCAUGGUUUUACUAUUAAAGAAUUUCGGUUAUCGAUGGGGAUGCGUUCCAUUAGUUUGUUGGCGGGGUAACGGCCCACCAAGACUACGAUGGAUAGGGGUUCUGAGAGGAAGGUCCCCCACAUUGGAACUGAGACACGGUCCAAACUCCUACGGGAGGCAGCAGUGAGGAAUAUUGGUCAAUGGACGAGAGUCUGAACCAGCCAAGUAGCGUGAAGGAUGACUGCCCUAUGGGUUGUAAACUUCUUUUAUAUGGGAAUAAAGUAUUCCACGUGUGGGAUUUUGUAUGUACCAUAUGAAUAAGGAUCGGCUAACUCCGUGCCAGCAGCCGCGGUAAUACGGAGGAUCCGAGCGUUAUCCGGAUUUAUUGGGUUUAAAGGGAGCGUAGGUGGAUUGUUAAGUCAGUUGUGAAAGUUUGCGGCUCAACCGUAAAAUUGCAGUUGAAACUGGCAGUCUUGAGUACAGUAGAGGUGGGCGGAAUUCGUGGUGUAGCGGUGAAAUGCUUAGAUAUCACGAAGAACUCCGAUUGCGAAGGCAGCUCACUAGACUGCAACUGACACUGAUGCUCGAAAGUGUGGGUAUCAAACAGGAUUAGAUACCCUGGUAGUCCACACAGUAAACGAUGAAUACUCGCUGUUUGCGAUAUACAGUAAGCGGCCAAGCGAAAGCAUUAAGUAUUCCACCUGGGGAGUACGCCGGCAACGGUGAAACUCAAAGGAAUUGACGGGGGCCCGCACAAGCGGAGGAACAUGUGGUUUAAUUCGAUGAUACGCGAGGAACCUUACCCGGGCUUAAAUUGCAUUUGAAUAAUCUGGAAACAGGUUAGCCGCAAGGCAAAUGUGAAGGUGCUGCAUGGUUGUCGUCAGCUCGUGCCGUGAGGUGUCGGCUUAAGUGCCAUAACGAGCGCAACCCUUAUCUUUAGUUACUAACAGGUGAUGCUGAGGACUCUAGAGAGACUGCCGUCGUAAGAUGUGAGGAAGGUGGGGAUGACGUCAAAUCAGCACGGCCCUUACGUCCGGGGCUACACACGUGUUACAAUGGGGGGUACAGAAGGCAGCUACCUGGCGACAGGAUGCUAAUCCCAAAAACCUCUCUCAGUUCGGAUCGAAGUCUGCAACCCGACUUCGUGAAGCUGGAUUCGCUAGUAAUCGCGCAUCAGCCAUGGCGCGGUGAAUACGUUCCCGGGCCUUGUACACACCGCCCGUCAAGCCAUGAAAGCCGGGGGUACCUGAAGUACGUAACCGCAAGGAGCGUCCUAGGGUAAAACUGGUAAUUGGGGCUAAGUCGUAACAAGGUAGCCGUACCGGAAGGUGCGGCUGGAACACCUCCUUUCUGGAGC